rnacentral:sRNA from 1 species
AAUAAUCCCUGAAGGGGCUGGACGAGAAGCUGCGAUUCGCAGUUCGACUAUGUUGUCUGGAACAAAAUAGAACAUGCGCAGCAUGGCCCGAAGGGCGAAGGACAGGAUGUCCGAAGUCAUCCUGCCCCCUCCACCA